ensembl:lncRNA
GCUGCUGAGUAGAGGUGGCCUUGGGGCUGGGGUUAGGGAGGUGAGGGAAGAGCUUAAGUGUAGAGCUCUGUUAGUUGUGGAAGUGGUAUGCAUUUUUAGUGCAUUCAGCUUUGCUUGGGUUUGGAUUUUCCUUCACUUCCUCUGCAGUAAAGACAUUAUAAUCUUGCAAGUGUUAAUUUUUGACUAGUUCUAGCAUAGACUUAGGACAGGAAGAAGCCUGUUUAGGGCUGUUGGAGUUUGGAUCUUGUGCAAUAUGUGGGAGUUGUGCUCCAGCUAUUUUUCUGUUAGGUAUAUGAGGAAAGACAGAGGGAGUGGAAAGAGCUCAGGCUUUGCUUAUUUUUUAUGCUGCAAACAGUGUAGCCCUGUAGAGGAAAAAGGAUUUGAAGUGUUGACCUGGCAUGUUAAAGUCAUGGGUAGCACUUGACAGCAUUUUCUCUCUUAGAAGUUCCUCAGACAUAUGGGAAGGUGGUCAAGAGCAGGAGCUGCUGCUGCUGCCCUCUUGACUGGAAAUAGUAGAUGCCAGUAGAAUCAAAAACAGGAGAAACAAAUAAUAUGUAGGACAAUUGCAGGAGCUCUCAGAGUCCUGGUGUUUCAGGCCUGCAGAAGCUCAGCCUUGUAUACCAAGCUGUGGGGCUGCCUGAGGAGCUUUCACAAACAGCACUUUAUGUAGCUUAUUGCAAGCUGUGCAGCACUCACACAACCACACAGUAUUUACUGGUUGGAAUUGUUGGGCCAGCUGGACCACAGUGCACACAGCCAUGUGUCUUCCCAGAAGUCAGCUAGAUGUGUUUGCGCAUCCCAGCAAGCUCUGCUUGUGAGUAGUUCAGUGGCCUCUUUCUCCUUUGACUCUGUAUAUGGAAGGAGAUGUGUUAUGUGUAACCGAGCCAAGAAUGGCCCAACUCUGCUCUCUGUACAUUUCCAAGCACCAAUAAGUCUAAUAGUUGUGCUUAUUCUGUGAUAAAUGACGAUAAGCACUGGCUGAGGAAGCUGUUGUCUGUGGAGACAGCAUCCGUGUGUCCACUGACUCCUGUUGUCUCUUACUCUGUGCUGAUGGCACGUGCCAAACCCCACGUUGUCUCAGUGCCAGCUGACCACAGGAUCCAUCCAGCCGACUGCUUUGCGGUGAUGAAUUGCUGUAUUUGCUGCUGGCUGCAUAUGGCAGGGAGUUUAAGAUCUCCAUGAAGGAAAAUGAUUAUCAUUGAGUCACACCAAUAGCUGCGACGCUGGCUGCCUGCCCCCGCCAGCCUGCUGCACCACUUGUGUGCUAAUGUUUGGAUUCUAGUGGUGGGAAAUGAAUGUCAGCCUGUACUCUCUUCAUGCACCAUUGAGCUGUGCUUAUGGUCGCUCUUGGCAGCACCAAAUCAUCAAACAGAUAAAACCAUCAGUCUUUUUAUUUCCAAACAUUAACCUAACUGCUAAUAAAGCACAGCUCAUGUCAUCCUUAUGGACUCUGCAGAGCUGAGUCACACGACAAACGGGAUCCGAAUGCUGGAAAAUGGCUCGUGCUUCUUCCUCGUGCUGUGUCCGGGCCUGCUGUGCAAGCGGGGCCUGUCUGGAGGAGUUCUGCCUUGGGCCUGCGUGCCAGAGCUGUGUGGGGAAGCUGGUGGAGCUGGGCUCUGUCCACCUAGCACAGCGUGGGGCUGUGACCUGUGUGCUUUGGGGUGCGCACAGUAGGCCGCUCAGCCCCAGCUCAGGUGCGGAAGGCUUUCCAGGCCCCAAGGUAGAGGAAAUGGAGCAAUCCUCCCUCUCUGUGGACUUUGCCUCCAGUGGCUCGAACAUAUUUUUCCCCAAACAUCUCCCAGCAAAACUGGAGGGGUUUUGUAAAUUCAUUAUGUCACAGAGGAAUCUGUUUAAUCAGCUGCCUUUUCCCCAGAGGCGCUUUGCGCUUAAUGAGACGCUUGAUGGAAGGAAUCAAAAUUGGUUUAUAUGAAUUUAGCCUGAGAGCCUCCAGCCAAUGUAUUACUGAGUGCACUGUAAUUUAGAGGGGUAAACGGAGAGGCUGAGCAGUUAUCACCCCAUUUGCUUGAGGUCAGUGGCAGGGGUGAAAGGUAAAACCUAGAGCUCUGCAUUGCGCCAUCCCUUUCCUAGGUGUCAUCAUGAUAAAUAGCACAGUCUCUGUGCCACCAGGAGCCCGCUCCCUGCUGCUGGUGUGACCUGCUGGGCUCUCUUCCUGACCAGUGCAGUUUGCAGUCAUGCAGCGAGGCACAUCCUUGCUUAGCUUAAGUCUGAGGAUGUCUCACUAAUUCAGAAGGUAUCCAUAUGAGGCAUACAGCAUGUAUGUGGAAAGGGGAUCAGGAACCUAGUGAGCUAGAUAGUGGGACGCAGAGCUGCAAUGUGGAAUAGUUCCAACUUUAGGUCCAAAAUCCAUUAUUAAAAUCUUCCCCUGUGAAAUUAAUGUACAAAGAGCAGUCUUUUGUUUCCUUUGCACAUCUACCUUCUUCAGCUGCCUGUGCUAAUCACCUUGUGACCUGCCUUCCUGUGGUGGGCCAACUCUGUGGCUACCAGGCCUUCAUCAUUUAGCCCUCUUCUUUUCUUUUCUUUUUAAUUUAUCUUGAGAAAGACAAGUCUGAAUUAUCAACAGAAGUGGAAUUUCACACAGACAAA